CUGAUUUACUCUUAUUGCUGUAACUGUGAUAUCCUGAAAGCAACUUUCACUGCUUUUUUGUCGGUCAGUCCCUAUUAAGGAAUGUUCCAUUAGAUUUUGUUGGUCAGGUUCUAUACUUGUUUAGUAUAAAGAAAUGUGGGUAAGCUCUGCUUGUGGGAGUUAUUUGUGUUGUAAAAGCUCCUGCCUUUCUGCCUCAAGCUUUUUAAGAUUGUCAAAAAUUAAUUGAACUUUUGUUGACAAGUGAACAUUGUGGUCUUCAACAUCUUUCAUAAAUGUAAGCAACUGUUCUCGAUAUGCUGUACUUAACCGUUUCUUAAUGUGCAGUUCUGUAGUUAAUUCCUGAAUCUUCUUAUCCUUCUCAUCAAGCUUCUGACGACUUUUUGGCAAUUGAUCUACCAAUGGGUGAUUAUGGGCCCCCAAAAAUUUUCUAACAAUCCAUCUCCCAGGCUUCUCUCUUUUCAACAAAAUCAUAGCCUUGCAACCUUCUUGUUGCUUAGCCUUGCAACCUUCUUGUUGCUUAUCUUGCAUAUGGCUUUUACCUCUUCUCCUACCAUCUGAACCUCCUCUACAACCUAUUCCCCGAGAGAUGAGUGAUCCAUCACGUUCUGACUUUCGGGAAGACAAAACACGCGUUGAAAACCCCACUUGUCUGGCAUAAUCAUCAUAAAAUGCUUUAGCUGUUUCUUCUGACUCAAAUAGCAUACCCUCAUAUGGUUCUUGAUUCAUGUCAAUUUCAUGUAGACUCGGCUCCCCUCCCCUAGAAAUUUC
rnacentral:misc_RNA from 1 species